rnacentral:misc_RNA from 1 species
UUAGGUUAGGUUAGGUUAGGUUUUUUUUUUUUUUUUUUUUUUUUUUUUUUUUUUUUUUUUUUUUUUUUUUUUUUUUUUUUUUUUUUUUUUUUUUUUUUUUUUUUUUCUAAACCUCCGAUAUUAUUUUUUUUUUUUUUUUUUUUUUUUUUUUUUUUUUUUUUUUUUUUUUUUUUUUAAUAUAAUAAUAUAGAUAAUAUAUUA